UGAGGAAUAUUGCACAAUGGGCGCAAGCCUGAUGCAGCGACGCCGCGUGUGGGAUGAAGGGGCUACGCCUCGUAAACCACUGUAGCCCGGGACGAAAAACGCCUUAGAGGCGUUAGACGGUACCGGGAAAGUAAGGGUCGGCUAACUACGUGCCAGCAGCCGCGGUAAUACGUAGGACCCAAGCGUUGUCCGGAUUUACUGGGUGUAAAGGGUGCGCAGGCGGACCGAUAAGUCGGGGGUUAAAUCCAUGUGCUUAACACAUGCACGGCUUCCGAUACUGUCGGUCUAGAGUCUCGAAGAGGAAGGUGGAAUUUCCGGUGUAACGGUGGAAUGUGUAGAUAUCGGAAAGAACACCAGUGGCGAAGGCAGCCUUCUGGUCGAGAACUGACGCUCAUGCACGAAAGCGUGGGGAGCAAACA
rnacentral:rRNA from 1 species